GCCCGGCAAGUACCAGAUGAAGAAGCUGUGCCUGGAGCCGACGUCCUUCACCGUCAAGGCGGAGGGCAUCGCCAAGAACGCGCCGCCCGAGUUCCAGAAGACCAAGCUCAUGACCCGCCUCACCUACACGCUGGACGAGAUCGAGGGCCCGCUCGAGGUCGCCUCCGACGGCACCCUCAAGUUCGAGGAGAAGGACGGCAUCGACUACGCCGCCGUCACCGUGCAGCUCCCGGGCGGCGAGCGCGUGCCCUUCCUCUUCACCGUCAAGCAGCUCGUCGCCACCGGCAAGCCGGACAGCUUCGGCGGGCCCUUCCUCGUGCCCAGCUACCGCGGCUCCUCCUUCCUCGACCCCAAGGGCCGCGGCGGC
rnacentral:lncRNA from 1 species